rnacentral:sRNA from 1 species
AUGGUAUCACAAGAAGGAUCUGAAGUGGAGCUUCUAGUAUCCCCAGGAGCAUGAAGUGAACACGGAAGGUACCUGCAGGAUCCAGUUGUGUCCAUUGAUCUCUCAGAGUGGCUGAGGAUAAUAGGUGUAUGGCUCUGUGUAUCACAUCAAUCACGGGAACCCCUUCAACAUGGAGGUGCUGGUGGACUCCUGGCCUGAAUAUCA